CACUUAUUGCCAUGUUUUAUUUAAUAUUUUUUAUUUAAUCUUUUAAUUUUUAAAAAAAACCCAUUAACAGUACAUUUUGGUCUAAAAUGGUCCCUCUGCUGAAAUGCUAGGUGCUAGCCGUAAUUCUGGCUUUAAAACCAAAACCCCAAAUAUUUAAUAAAUAAAAAUUAGAAUUAGUUGCCAUUCUACUCCAAACCAGCUAGCCUAGCUGAAGAGAAGAGGGAAGGGGGAAGAGGCCAGAGAAAGGAGGAGGCAGUCAGAUCUUAGACCUGUCGCUACAGGGACAGCUGAAAGAAGUAGCACUAAGAAAGAUCAUCCGAGCAGUCCCCAGUACAGCCCCCACUUUUUGGCAGAGGUAGGGUAAGGGUUAUGUGCACCCUCCUCCUACCCUCAAUUCAUUUGUGUCAUAGAGGGAGAAAGUUAAAAGCUCAGCUUUGGUUUCUGGCCCAAGUUAGGGAGCUUAGAAAGGUUAGCCUUGGUCCAGCUUUGGCAGAAUGAGGAAUGUGAAUUGUAACCCCUACCCACAGAGAGCUGAGGGAGGGCCUCAAAAGCAGUAGAAAGGAUGACUUGGCGGGUAGGGAGGAAAAUACGACCGUCCCCCUCUAACAGAAUAUAACCAACGUCCCCCUAC
ensembl:lncRNA novel transcript, antisense to CERS2